CCAAUAGCGUAUAUUAAAGUUGUUGCAGUUAAAAAGCUCGUAGUUGAAUUUCGGGGUUAGUAGGUUGGUCAUGCCUCUGGUAUGUACUGGUCUCACUGAUUCCUCCUUCCUGAUGAGCCGUAAUGCCAUUAAUUUGGUGUUGCGGGGAAUUUGGACUGUUACUUUGAAAAAAUUAGAGUGUUUAAAGCAAGCUAACGCUUGAAUACAUUAGCAUGGAAUAAUGAAAUAGGACGUUCGAUCCUAUUUUGUUGGUUUCUAGGAUUGACGUAAUGAUUAAUAGGGAUAGUUGGGGGCAUUAGUAUUCAAUUGUCAGAGGUGAAAUUCUUGGAUUUAUUGAAGACUAACUACUGCGAAAGCAUUUGCCAAGGAUGUUUUCAUUAAUCAAGAACGAAAGUUAGGGGAUCGAAGACGAUCAGAUACCGUCGUAGUCUUAACCAUAAACUAUGCCGACUAGGGAUCGGAUGAUGUUAAUUUUUUAAUGACUCAUUCGGCGCCUCACG
rnacentral:rRNA from 1 species